GGCCAGCAGCCGCGGUAAUACGGAGGGAUCGAGCGUUGCUCGGAAUUACUGGGCGUAAAGGGCGCGUAGGCGGUCUUGUAUGUCGGGCGUGAAAGCCCCGGGCUCAACCCGGGAUGUGCGUCCGAAACUGCAAGACUAGAGUCUCGGAGAGGGAGGUGGAAUUUCAAGUGUAGAGGUGAAAUUCGUAGAUAUUUGGAGGAACACCAGUGGCGAAGGCGGCUCACUGGCUCGAUACUGACGCUGAGGUACGAAAGUGUGGGGAGCAAACAGGAUUAGAUA
rnacentral:rRNA from 1 species